rnacentral:rRNA from 1 species
AGCGAACGCUGGCGGCAGGCCUAAUACAUGCAAGUCGAACGGAUCCUUCGGGAUUAGUGGCGGACGGGUGAGUAACACGUGGGAACGUGCCCUUUGGUUCGGAACAACUCAGGGAAACUUGAGCUAAUACCGGAUAAGCCCUUCGGGGAAGGAUUUAUCGCCAUUGGAGCGGCCCGCGUCUGAUUAGCUAGUUGGUGGGGUAAAGGCCUACCAAGGCGACGAUCAGUAGCUGGUCUGAGAGGAUGAUCAGCCACACUGGACUGAGACACGCCCAGACUCCUACGGGAGGCAGCAGUAAGGGAAUCUUGCGCAAGUGGGCGAAAGCCUGACGCAGCCAUGCCGCGUG